rnacentral:lncRNA from 1 species
UUAGCGGUUCUCUAUUUUGGGAACUUGGAGAAUCCUAUUCUUCCAUCCAAAUCCAUAGAUUUAAUAUGCAAGGAAUGAAGGCCCUCUCUUUGGGCGAUUAGCCUUUGCUUAUGCAAAGAGGAAUCUACAAAGGUACAAUUGCAACUCACUUUGUUUUGAGUGGAGUUUUGGUUCACCAAUCUACUAGGCUUUGAAUUUCAUGGUUAAUGUUUUGUU